rfam:Arabis alpina cultivar Pajares Aa.chr8_contig_219, whole genome shotgun sequence.
AUUCCAUGGUGAAGACAGCUUCUAGUGUAACCUUUCAAAUGUUCCCAAGCUUCACUUAGAGACUCUUGACCACCUUGCCUGAAAGAGUUUAUAUCACUUUUGUACU